AUGGUGCUGUGCUGCAUGGCGCUGCUCUGUGCUGUGCUGCAUGGCACUGCAGUGUGCUGCAUGCUGCAGUGCUGUGCUGCUCGGUGCUGCACGGCACUGCAGUGUGCUGCGUGGUGCUGUGCUGCGUGGCACUGCACUGUGCUGCAUGGCACUGCACUGCACAGCAUUGCACAGCACUGCUGCACUGCACAGCACUGCACAGCACUGCAAGGCACCGCACAGCACAGCACUGUGCAGCACUGCACUGCACAGUACUGCAAGGCACUGCACAGUGUUGCACUGCACAGUGCAGCAUUGCACAGCACAGCACUGUGCAGCAUUGCUCUGCACUGCACGGCCCUGCACAGCACAGCACUGUGCAGCAUUGCUUCGCACUGCACAGCACUGCAUGGCUCUGCACAGCACUGCACUGUGCAGCAUUACUUUGCACACCACUGCAAGGCACAACACUACACAGCAUUGCACCACACUGCACAGCACUGCACGGCACUGCACUGCACUGCACAGCACCAGGCACCACACAGCACUGCCCCACUGCUCCUUUGCCCCAUCCCCAUCCCACGGCCGCCCCACACAGGGGGCUGCAGCCCCCCGGGGUGCCCAGGCCGUGUCCCCAUGGGGCACAAAGUCCGUGCCACCCGGCCAGCCUGGUGCACGGGGCCGUGUCUCCUGCGUCCCCAGGGAGCAAAGCAGGGCACAGGGGGGGCACCGGCCCUGUUCUGGGGGGGGGAGCCCAGAAGCACUGCCCUGAGUCCCCAUAAAGCAGUGUGUGGGGUCAGUGCGCCAUGGGGUGGGACCCUGUGGGAUCAGCCCCCCCUGGGGCUGGGACCCCCCUGGGGCUGGGAUCCUCCUCAGGGUGGGAUCCACGAGAGUUUGGGUCCACUCGGGGGCUGGGACUCCUGUGGAGGUGGGAACCCCACGAGGAUGGGACCCCCCCAGGGAAUGGGUAUCUGUGGGGAUCAGAUCCACGUGGGGCUGGGUCCCACAUGGGGCUGGGGGGACAUUGGAGGGUCCUGGGGGGUCUCCUGCCCCCCCUCUGCCCCCCCUCAUCCACCCCACUGCCAAGCUCUGCUGGGCCCCACGUCACGCCAAGCUGUGGGGGGGUUCCCUGAGUGCGAGACCCCAUGGGGGGGGUAA
rnacentral:lncRNA from 1 species